CAGAGUAAGGGCGACUGAAAUGUCAAAAGCUCAGCAUGUGAAUCAGCGUUUAUUUUCAUAAAUGCUGAAUUGUGGUCUUACGAUUCUUGCAACACUUAGUCCAGUCCAUGUUUUUUGGAAUAAAAUAGCAAAGAGGGUGAAACUCCUGUUUGUCUGGACUUGCGAAGCAAAAAUCACUGAGUCGAGUUGUUUGGGAUUGCAGCUCAAAUGCGGUGGUAAAUUCCAUCUCAAGCUAAAUACUGGCAGGAAACCGAUAUCGAAAAAGUACCGUGAGGGAAAGAUGAAAAGAACUUUGAAAAGAGAGUGAAAGAGUACCUGAAAUUGCUGAAAAGGAAGCGAACGAAGCUAGUGAUCGCUGCGUCAUACUUUCCACAUUGCUUGCAAUUUGGACGCUGUGGCCGGCCGAGUCCGACUUGAUUGUAAGUUGUGGAAACAGGCAAAGAAAAGAU
rnacentral:rRNA from 1 species